rnacentral:rRNA from 1 species
CCUACGGGCGGCUGCAGUGAGGAAUAUUGGUCAAUGGACGAGAGUCUGAACCAGCCAAGUAGCGUGAAGGAUGACUGCCCUAUGGGUUGUAAACUUCUUUUAUAUGGGAAUAAAACGUUCCACGUGUGGGAUUUUGUAUGUACCAUAUGAAUAAGAAUCGGCUAACUCCGUGCCAGCAGCCGCGGUAAUACGGAGGAUCCGAGCGUUAUCCGGAUUUAUUGGGUUUAAAGGGAGCGUAGGUGGAUUGUUAAGUCAGUUGUGAAAGUUUGCGGCUCAACCGUAAAAUUGCAGUUGAAACUGGCAGUCUUGAGUCCAGUAGAGGUGGGUGGAAUUCGUGGUGUAGCGGUGAAAUGCUUAGAGAUCACGAAGAACACCGAUUGCGAAGGCAGUUCACUGGACUGCAACUGACACUGAGGCUCGAAAGUGUGGGUAUCAAACAGGAUUAGAUACCCUUGUAGUC